GUCGCGCACGCGAGCGGCCAUUCCUUCCGAUCGUUUGGGCGCUAUCGGUGGGCGCCGCGCGCCACAUGUGUCAGUCCUCCCGCUUGAGCCAUGACACGACACGACACGACACGACGCGCGCGCGCGCGACACCCGCUUGAGCCGUGGCAAGCACCGAGGCUGCGCCUACGUGCUCUUCCAUACAGCGGCACUGCCGUCCAAUCGCCGGCCGGCGCAGCGCUGGAGCUCCGGAUCCGGUGCUCUGCGCAGGAGCCGCGGUUAUCAGGGAGCUUCACGCCGCGCCUUGCCGUCAGAAGCUGCGAGCUGGACCUGCCGGAGUCGCACGUCAGGAGCACCGCGCGUCCGGAGCCUCGCGGUCGGGAGCUCCACCCCGACGGAAAAGCGGGGGCGGUGCCAGAGCUAUCACACAACCGCGCUGCCGUCUAAUCGCCGGCGCCCACAACAGCGCUGGAGCUGCGUGUCCGGAGCUCUGCGACGCCAGGAGCCACUGUUAUCUGGGAGCUUCGCGCCACGCCACGCCUCGCUGUCAGAAGCUGCGUGCUCGGCCUGUGGGGGUCGCACGUCAGGAGUGGCCGGCAGAGAGUUCUGUUACAAAGUCCGUACAACGGCAAGAAGCUACAUCCUGGUUGACCUGAACUACAAGGUGUAGCUGGCAAAUGCAACUUCAUGCAGUCCGGUGGUUUCAGAUUGAUGGGACUUCGGCCACCGGAGCUUUCACACGCACCCACGCAUCAUCUUGAAGACUUGAAGCCUUGACGGCGAUCGUGGAAGAAACAUGUGGCUCCUACUAAAGUCGGAUGUCGUUGAUCGAACGAAAGGCAUAGCGAAAUGCCCCCAGAGAAAAGAAAUCCUUUCUGCCGACUGCUUGGAAUCAAGGCAAUAGCAAAGGUCAUAAGGCUCACAGAUUGACCUUUUGCAGGUGAUGUUGCUCCCAUAUCAUGCUGACGACUGACGAGUGACUACUGCUUCUUUUUGUUAGGUUUGAGGUGUUCACAUGAUCCGCCAAUGGGUUGGAUGCACUGUAUGUGAAGCAUGCUGCUAUCUCUUUUGUAUGAUCGUACAUCAAGUUACCAAAGUCGACUAUUCUUAAAGGCAGUUUAAAACGUAGAAACUAUGUUAAAAUACCUCUCUAUUUUUAUUUUUUACAAAG